GUUAAAAAGCUCGUAGUUGGAUUUCUGUUACGGUGAGUCGGCCGGCUCUUCGGAGUUGUAGCUAGAUUUCAUUGUAGCAUCUUGACGUAAUUACUACUGGCAUUCAUUUGUUGGUGUGUAGGACCGUCUCGUUUACUUUGAGAAAAUUAGAGUGUUCGAAGCGGGCUAUCGCCUUGAAUAUAUUAGCAUGGAAUAAUAAUAUAGGACUUUUGGUUCUAUUUUGUUGGCGUUCGAGAACCAAAGUAAUGAUUGAUAGGGACAGUUGGGGGCAUCAGUAUUCUGAAGCGAGAGGUGAAAUUCUUGGAUCUUCGGAAGACUAACAGCUGCGAAAGCGUUUGCCUAGGAUGUUCUCUUUAAUCAAGAACGAAGGUUGGGGGAUCGAAGACGAUCAGAUACCGUCGUAGUCUCAACUGUAAACUAUGCCAGCUAGGGAUGAGUGGAUGUUUAAUUACGACUCCAUUCGCACCUUAUGAGAAAUCAAAGCAUUUGGGUUCCGGGGGAAGUAUGGUCGCAAGGCUGAAACUUAAAGGAAUUGACGGGAGGGCACCACCAGGAGUGGAGCCUGU
rnacentral:rRNA from 1 species